rnacentral:rRNA from 1 species
ACAUGCCUACAACAUAGAUUUAAUGCAUUGGAUCCCAUUAGAACUCCAUAGUUAAACAUGCUCAAGAUAGAGUAGUACUGGGAUGAAUGAUCGCCUGGGAAGUCCUAGUGUUUUACAUGCC